rnacentral:tRNA from 1 species
GCCUGGGUGGCUCAGUUGGUUAAGCAUCUGACUUCGGCUCUGGUCAUGAUCUCACAGUUCGUGGGUUCGAGCCCCACGUCAGGCU